UACGUAGGGGGCAAGCGUUGUCCGGAUUUAUUGGGCGUAAAGAGCGUGUAGGCGGUUUGGUAGGUCCGCUGUGAAAACCCGAGGCUCAACCUCGAGACGCCGGUGGAAACCAUCAGACUAGAGUCCGGAAGAGGAGAGUGGAAUUCCUGGUGUAGCGGUGAAAUGCGCAGAUAUCAGGAAGAACGCCCGUGGCUAAGGCGGCUCUCUAGUACGGUACUGACGCUGAGACGCGAAAGCGUGGGGAGCAAACAGG
rnacentral:rRNA from 1 species